UGCAGCGCAUACUGGUUUCCUUGAGUACGCACAACGUUGGCGGAAUUCGUCGUGUAGCGGUGAAAUGCUUAGAUAUGACGAAGAACUCCGAUUGCGAAGGCAGCUGACGGGAGCGCAACUGACGCUUAAGCUCGAAGGUGCGGGUAUCAAACAGGAUUAGAUACCCUGGUAGUCCGCACAGUAAACGAUGGAUGCCCGCUGUUGGUACCUGGUAUCAGCGGCUAAGCGAAAGCAUUAAGCAUCCCACCUGGGGAGUACGCCGGCAACGGUGAAACUCAAAGGAAUUGACGGGGGCCCGCACAAGCGGAGGAACAUGUGGUUUAAUUCGAUGAUACGCGAGGAACCUUACCCGGGCUUGAAUUGCAGACGAACGAUUCAGAGAU
rnacentral:rRNA from 1 species